rnacentral:rRNA from 1 species
AGUAACACGUGACUAAUCUACCCUCGAGUGGGGAAUAACUGAGAGAAAUCUUAGCUAAUACCGCAUAACACUUACGAGUCAAAGCAGCAAUGCGCUUGGGGAGGAGGUCGCGGCCGAUUAGCUAGUUGGCGGGGUAAUGGCCCACCAAGGCGAUGAUCGGUAUCCGGCCUGAGAGGGCGCACGGACACACUGGAACUGAAACACGGUCCAGACUCCUACGGGAGGCAGCAGUGGGGAAUUUUGCGCAAUGGGGGAAACCCUGACGCAGCAACGCCGCGUGGAGGAUGAAGUAUCUUGGUACGUAAACUCCUUUCGAUGGGGAAGAUUAUGACGGUACCCAUAGAAGAAGCCCCGGUAACUUCGUGCCAGCAGCCGCGGUAAUACGAGGGGGGCAAGCGUUGUUCGGAUUUAUUGGGCGUAACAGGGUGCGUAGGCGGUUUGGCAAGUCUUAUGUGAAAUCUUCGGGGCUCAACCCGAAGCCUGUUAAGAAACUGCGGGCUUGAGUAUGGGAGAAGGUG